rnacentral:rRNA from 1 species
ACGAAGGUGGCAAGCGUUGUUCGGAUUUACUGGGCGUACAGGGAGCGUAGGCGGUUGGAUAAGCCCUCCGUGAAAUCUCCAGGCUUAACCUGGAAAGUGCAGAGGGGACUGUUCAGCUAGAGGAUGGGAGAGGAGCGCGGAAUUCCCGGUGUAGCGGUGAAAUGCGUAGAGAUCGGGAGGAAGGCCGGUGGCGAAGGCGGGUCUCUGGGCCGAUACUGACGCUGAGGAGCGAAAGCGUGGGGAGCGAACAGGA